AACGAACGUUAGCGGCGCGCCUAACACAUGCAAGUCGAGCGAGAAAGGGCUUCGGCCCCGGUAAAGCGGCGCACGGGUGAGUAACACGUGGAUAACCUACCCCUUGGUGGUGGAUAACCUUCCGAAAGGAGGGCUAAUACAGCGUAAGACCACGACUUCGAAAGAGGUUGGGGUAAAAGUGGGCCUCUGUACACAAGCUCACGCCAGGGGAUGGGUCCGCGGCCCAUCAGCUAGUUGGUAGGGUAACGGCCUACCAAGGCGAAGACGGGUAGCUGGUCUGAGAGGAUGAUCAGCCACACUGGAACUGAGACACGGUCCAGACUCCUACGGGAGGCAGCAGUGGGAAUCUUGCGCAAUGGACGAAAGUCUGACGCAGCGACGCCGCGUGAGUGAUGAAGGCCUUGGUCGUAAGACCUGUCGCAGGGAAGGAAUAAGCAUCGGUAUAAUAACGCCGGU
rnacentral:rRNA from 1 species